UACGUAGGGUGCAAGCGUUGUCCGGAUUUAUUGGGCGUAAAGAGCGUGUAGGCGGCCAAGCAGGUCUGUUGUGAAAACUGGAGGCUCAACCUCCAGACGUCGACAGAAACCGCUUGGCUAGAGUCCGGAAGAGGAGAGUGGAAUUCCUAGUGUAGAGGUGAAAUUCGUAGAUAUUAGGAAGAACACCAGUGGCGAAGGCGGCUCACUGGUCCGGUACUGACGCUGAGGUGCGAAAGCGUGGGGAGCAAACAGG
rnacentral:rRNA from 1 species